rnacentral:rRNA from 1 species
CAGCAGCCGCGGUAAUACGUAGGGUGCGAGCGUUAAUCGGAAUUACUGGGCGUAAAGCGAGCGCAGACGGUUAUUUAAGCAGGAUGUGAAAUCCCCGGGCUUAACCUGGGAACUGCGUUCUGAACUGGAUGGCUAGAGUGUGUCAGAGGGGGGUAGAAUUCCACGUGUAGCAGUGAAAUGCGUAGAGAUGUGGAGGAAUACCGAUGGCGAAGGCAGCCCCCUGGGAUAACACUGACGUUCAUGCUCGAAAGCGUGGGUAGCAAACAGGAUUAGAUACCCGCGUAGUCCCUGUCUCUUAUAC